GAUUUUUAGCGCGGGGCUGUUGUUCACGGGAUGGUGGUGAAGUCGGGACUUGACCACAAUCUUUCAGUGUGUAACGCCUUGGUGGAUCUUUAUGGGAAGUCCCAUGAUGUGGCCGAUGCAGCAAUGGUGUUUGAGGGGAUGGCAGAGCAGGACAGAGACUUGUUCAGCUGGAACUCGAUGCUGUCGGCAUUGCAGUACUCAGCUAACCAUAUGGGGACAAUGAGGCUCUUUCACAGGAUGAGGCAUGCUGCAGUAUGGCCAGAUGCAGUGACUGUUGCGGCUCUCCCUGCAUGUGCGCAGACUGCAGCACUGAAGGUUGGGAGGACGGUUCAUGGGUACAUUAUGACGAGCGGACUGGCUCGCGAUGGUGCAUUGGACGUGCCCGCUUGUAAUGCACUAGUAGACAUGUAUGCCAAGAGCGGUGCGCUGGAUGAGGCAUGCCGUGUAUUUGACUGGAUGCACCGACAGGACGUUGCAUCAUGGAAUAUUAUGAUCAAUGUCUAUGCAUCCCAUGGGCGUGGGCAGGAGGCAAUUGGGUUGUUCCGCCAGAUGACAGAAGUGAAAGGUCUGGUGCCAGAGGAGGUAACUCUGCUGGCAGCAAUGUUGGCGUGCAGCCACUCUGGGUUUGUCGAAGAAGGCAGAAGUUUACUUGAGAGAAUGAAAGAGGAGGUCAGUUUGGAGCCGCUGAUGGAGCACUACUCAUGUGUGACUGACAUGCUUGGGCGAGCAGGGAGGCUGGAUGAAGCGAGAAAGGUAGUAAAUGAGGGUGGCGGCGAAUCCGGGGUGGCCUGCUCGAGGCUUUCAGCCGGAGAUCCUCGGGUCGCUCGCGCGGUCGCUACCCUCUGCCUCUCCCGCACACAUGACUCGUGCCGUCGCUGCACUCUCCGUUCUCUUCCCGUGCUUUUCGAUUGGCCCGAUGGUGAACUGCAGUGCUGCUAA
rnacentral:rRNA from 1 species